AGUCACUGACAUUAGAUACCCCCUGUAGUCCAGGGUGUAAACGCUGCAGACUUGGUGUUGGGAACCCUUCGGGGGUGCUCAGUGCCGGAGAGAAGUUGUUAAGUCUGCUACUUGGGGAGUACGUCCGCAAGGAUGAAACUUAAAGGAAUUGGCGGGGGAGCACCGCAACGGGAGGAGCGUGCGGUUUAAUUGGAUUCAACACCGUAAAACUCACCAGGGAAGACUGUUACAUGAAGGCCGAGAUGAAGACUCUGCUAGAUUUUCAG
rnacentral:rRNA from 1 species